CGUAGUAGUUAAUGAAUAAACAAUUAUCAUAGUUUACAUAUGUUAUCUAUUAUUGUGAUAUGUUUCAAAUUUUCUGCUUUAAGCUAGAAAAGCUAAGUAUCAAGCAAGUAUUUGUUAAAAUUAUAAUAUGCUUGAAAUAAAAUAAAAAAAAAAUUAUUAAACAGAAUGAUCAGUUUCAUUUUUGUAAUCCUUUCUAAUCUGCUCGGUG
rnacentral:lncRNA from 1 species